UGGGGAAUUUUGGACAAUGGGCGCAAGCCUGAUCCAGCAAUGCCGCGUGAGUGAAGAAGGCCUUCGGGUUGUAAAGCUCUUUCAGUCGAGAAGAAAAGGUUGUGACUAAUAAUCAUAACUCAUGACGGUAUCGACAGAAGAAGCACCGGCUAACUACGUGCCAGCAGCCGCGGUAAUACGUAGGGUGCGAGCGUUAAUCGGAAUUACUGGGCGUAAAGGGUGCGCAGGCGGUUCUGUAAGUCAGAUGUGAAAUCCCCGGGCUUAACCUGGGAACUGCGUUUGAAACUACAGAACUAGAGUGUGGCAGAGGGGGGUGGAAUUCCAUGUGUAGCAGUGAAAUGCGUAGAGAUAUGGAAGAACAUCGAUGGCGAAGGCAGCCCCCUGGGUUAACACUGACGCUCAUGCACGAAAGCGUGGGGAGCAAACAGG
rnacentral:rRNA from 1 species